ACUGCACUAGUUAUAUCUAUUUUAAGAAUAUAUGCUUAAUAAUAAUAUUUUUUCCAAAAUAGUAUAUUUAUUUCUAAAACUGAGCGUAGGUCUACUUUUUAAAAACAUUUAUAACUAUUUCCAUGCAUAAUUGAAAAUAUAUUUAUAUUUUUUGUAACUAUUGUUGAUAAUGAAUCCCAUGCAUGGCUAAACGAAGUAUAAACUCAUCUUAAAAUCCCUAAAAGAAAAAUAGUUAGUUUUUCAAAAAAGUAAUUUUUACUUAAUACAUUUGAAUCUCCUUCUGUGAAACAUUUCCCAUUAUUGUACAUUGUGAUACAUUUUGAUAUAACUACUACUAAUUAUUUUAACAUAACAAUUAAUUUAUUAUGUGAAAUUUUCCUCUUUCAUGUGUAUGUGAAAGAUCCGAACAUUCCAUAAAUUUAAAAAUUGUUCUGGUUAGGCUGCGUUUUUUCUUCGCUCUACCUGCACUACUUCACCCACGUACAAGCUCUUGGUCAUUCAUCAUCUUCCAGGAAAGGUUAAACUGCUGAUUUGCUCUAAAUAUGCUGACGCUAACAAUAGGUUUGGGAAAGAUUGCCUUUUGUAUACUAAACAGAAUUUAAAUAUUCUCUCAGCUUUUCUAGAGUAGAAAUUUAAACAAUCCAUUCUGCGAAUAGUUCAAGGUGGUGUUGACACUCUAGAAGGAUAUCCUCAUCUCCCCUCUCCCCUCUCCCCCCUCUCUCUUCUGAUACUUCAAUAAUUAUACCAUUUUAACUUCGCUAUUAGAUUUCCAGCAAUCAUUAAAAUUAGAUAAAAAAUGUUGAGGAAUAACCUGGAUAUGUAGAACAUAUAAAAAUUAGUAAAAUAAAAAUGAGUGAAAAAUAAAAUAAGAACCGCCUUUCCAGAAUAAUUCUUCCCUUACCUAUCACAGGGACUGUCAUUACAUAGUCAUUUACAGACAUGUAGACUUACGUACUAGUCGAUUGGUUUUAAAUAACCUUAUCUACUUUAAGUUAUGGUUGUCUACUUGAGUAAUGAAAUGUAAUAGUUUAAAUUAUACGUUGCAAGUCUUCAAGAUAAAGAAUACAAGUGUUGAAGUUAUUUAAAGUAGCCAAUAAGGGUCAGAAACUUGACGUCCUGGAAGAACAAACAUUUUUGAAACGAAGAAGCAAAUUUACGAUUCCAAACGAAAAGUUCUAAUUCAGUUUCCGUUAUAAUUUAAUAUGAUAGUCGGUCGCAAGAACACUACUGAUAAGACUCCUGUAGAUAUGAACGGAGCAGGAAGUAGGGGAAGAGGAGUAACAACCUUCAGUCAUCUGCGUUCAGUGACUGCUCUGCCGACUCGGCGCGGCGGUUCGGAUCCGUGGUUGUGCGUGUGCGGUAGGCCUGCCAUCUAAUGUGUACCGCACAUUAUUGAUCGUGUACAGAUCUCCAGGUACAGCUAUCCUGUAUAUGUUUUAUUUACUGAAUCUGUGUGUUUUAUAAUGUGUUAUUUUUACGUGUUUUUAACUUCCAUUGACUUUCGUGUCUUUAUGCACCUGAUGAUUGGACUUUCUUCCCGAAACAAUCUUUGAAAUAACUCUACAAAAAAGGAUUUUUGAACCAUUAACAAGAUUGAGACCUUGAGCCAGAGACGCUAUGGAGACGGACAAAUUAGAUGAAGGAUCUAAGAGACCGACACACAUGUACGAGGUGCCAGUGCCACAGCAGGUCGGCAUAUUUGGAUCGGCAGUGGACGUCACCUCCAGCUACAUCGAUUACUUGUAGAUUUAUUAAUAUAUUGCCACUACUAAAGUAAGCUGUAUUGUAACAGACCGAUAUACAUGUACAAGGUGCCGGUGCCCCAGCAGGUCGGCAUAUUUGGAUCGGCAGUGGACGUCACCUCCAGCUACAUCGAUUACUUGUAGAUCAUUUAAUAUAUUGCCACUACUA